AUCCAGCUGACGAGUCCCAAAUAGGACGAAAGGCACGUUUUGGAU
rfam:Schistosoma mattheei strain Denwood, Zambia genome assembly, scaffold: SMTD_scaffold0014616